GUUACCUUCUGUGCGUGGAUUCCCCAGUGUUACAGUAUCUUGGUACGUGUUGUCCUGUGUAGCCUGCUCUGCUCAUUGUUCUCUUCCGGUUUCUAUGGUUUUUGGUUUCUUUUGGAUUCCUUGUUUUUGGACUUGUUAUCAGCCGCUCCGCCUGGAAGACUUCUACAUGGACUCCUCUGAAUCAGAAGUUGAAAUUCUCUCCGUUCUCCAGUCAGGUGCAACGGCCUCAAUGCAUUCAAAUAUUCCUCAUGAUUGAACUGCAGACCAGGGAGGCUACUUUUCAGCUAUGACCAACAGGCGUUUGCACAAAAGUUUUACACUGUGGGAAAGCUGUUGGCCUGGUCCAUUAUCCAAAAUGGACCAGGAAUCCGAUGCCUGGGAAAACCCAUUUCUGCUCAUGUGUGGCCAGAAGCCAGAAAUGACCUUUUGAUCUGGAUAUUUUCCAGGAAGAGGAAUUGGAGAUUAAGCUUGAAAAGGUUGAGAUGCAGCACCACUGAGGAGUUAGGAGCUCAAAUGCACAUUGGGAGACUGGAUGGCUGAUAGUGGUGUGCCAAACAUUUACACAGCCUCUGUCAGGGAACACAAAGGGAUGGGGUUUUACAAAGUAGUCUACUAUAUUCACGGCUUAGAGUCCUCCGGCGCUGUGCCGGAAUUCCGGGGAGAGGCAUUUUUGUAUACGACAAUAUAUAAAUAUGUCUGUGGAAAAUA